rnacentral:rRNA from 1 species
UACAGAGGUCCCGAGCGUUGUUCGGAUUCAUUGGGCGUAAAGGGCGCGUAGGCGGUUCGUCAAGUCCUGUGUGAAAUCCCCCGGCUCAACUGGGGAACUGCACAGGAAACUAGCGGGCUUGAGUUCGGGAGAGGGAAGCGGAAUUCCGGGUGUAGCGGUGAAAUGCGUAGAUAUCCGGAGGAACACCGGUGGCGAAGGCGGCUUCCUGGACCGACACUGACGCUGAGGCGCGAAAGCUAGGGGAGCAAACGGG